GGCCCCAGCCCGGCCCCCAGUAGGGAGAUGGCGUCCUACGUAGAUAACAGCUUCCGCCAGGCGGUGAUGAAGAACCCCCCUGAGAGGACCCCCCAGGAUCUGGAAAUAGUAUAUUCCUAUUUACAUGGUAUGGAAGCCUUGUCAAACUUGAGGGAGCAUCAACUUAGGUUAAUGUGUGAAACUGUGAGAUAUGAGAGACACGAAGCAAAUGAAGUUUUAUACUACCCCGAUGAUAUUGGGACCUGCUGGUAUAUCCUUCUUUCUGGUUCUGUGUUCAUCAAGGAAUCCAUGUUUCUUCCAAGAAGCAGUUUUGGCAAGCGUUCUGCAGGAAGUUUUAGGCGUGGCUGUGAAUGCAUUGUUUUAGAGCCUUCUGAAAUGAUUGUGGUAAGAGUAUUUCUUGUGAGGACUAUUUUCUCCUGAAAAUUGCAUGAAAUAAAGGCAUUUUACA
ensembl:lincRNA